AUUGAACGCUGGCGGCAUGCCUUACACAUGCAAGUCGAACGGUAACGGGCCUUCGGGCGCCGACGAGUGGCGAACGGGUGAGUAAUGCAUCGGAACGUACCUUUCAGUGGGGGAUAACGUAGCGAAAGUUACGCUAAUACCGCAUAUUCUGUGAGCAGGAAAGCAGGGGAUCGCAAGACCUUGCGCUGAUUGAGCGGCCGAUGUCAGAUUAGCUAGUUGGUGAGGUAAAGGCUCACCAAGGCGACGAUCUGUAGCGGGUCUGAGAGGAUGAUCCGCCACACUGGAACUGAGACACGGUCCAGACUCCUACGGGAGGCAGCAGUGGGGAAUUUUGGACAAUGGGGGCAACCCUGAUCCAGCCAUGCCGCGUGAGUGAAGAAGGCCU
rnacentral:rRNA from 1 species